rnacentral:lncRNA from 1 species
GCUGGUUUUCCCACCCUAAUCUUAUUAUGUAAAUGGGCUUUCCACUUGAUCAGUGCCAUCCUGUCUGCUCGUUACUGUACACGUGGCUGGCAAAGAGAUGAGAAGAUGGAGUCGCCAUUGUGAUCAUGCCUAGUCUCAGGGACAUGGAUGAAUCUGGAGAACAUCAUCCUCAGCAAACUGACACAAGAACAGAAAACGAAACACCGCAUAUUCUCACUCAUAGCAAGUGUUUCAGCAUUGGGCAGAAGACAAAAGAACUAAUUUCAGGAUUAUAGCACUGAAAAGUCAGGAAGGUUUGAGUACAUCCUGCAGAAGAUUCUGACUAAGACCAAGACAUUUAUGUUCCUGCCAGUGCUGGAG